UACAGAGGGGGCAAGCGUUGUUCGGAAUUACUGGGCGUAAAGGGCGCGUAGGCGGCGCGGUAAGUCACUUGUGAAAUCUCUGGGCUUAACUCAGAACGGCCAAGUGAAACUGUUGUGCUAGAGUGCAGAAGGGGCAAUCGGAAUUCUCGGUGUAGCGGUGAAAUGCGUAGAUAUCGAGAGGAACACCAGAGGUGAAGACGGGUUGCUGGGCUGACACUGACGCUGAGGCGCGAAAGCCAGGGGAGCAAACGGG
rnacentral:rRNA from 1 species